AUUGAACGCUGGCGGCAUGCUUUACACAUGCAAGUCGAACGGUAACAGGCCUUCGGGCGCUGACGAGUGUCGAACGGGUGAGUAAUGCAUCGGAACGUGCCCAGUCGUGGGGGAUAACUAUCCGAAAGGAUAGCUAAUACCGCAUACGAUCUGCGGAUGAAAGCGGGGGACCUUCGGGCCUCGCGCGAUUGGAGCGGCCGAUGUCAGAUUAGGUAGUUGGUGGGGUAAAGGCUCACCAAGCCAACGAUCCGUAGCUGGUCCGAGAGGACGACCAGCCACACUGGGACUGAGACACGGCCCAGACUCCUACGGGAGGCAGCAGUGGGGAAUUUUGGACAAUGGGCGCAAGCCUGAUCCAGCAAUGCCGCGUGCAGGAAGAAGGCCUUCGGGUUGUAAACUGCUUUUGUACGGAACGAAACGCUCUGGCUUAAUACGCCGGGGUAAUGACGGUACCUGAAGAAGAAGCACCGGCUAACUACGUGCCAGCCGCCGCAGUAA
rnacentral:rRNA from 1 species